rnacentral:rRNA from 1 species
UACGUAGGGGGCGAGCGUUAUCCGGAAUUAUUGGGCGUAAAGAGUGCGUAGGUGGUUUUGUAAGCGCGGGGUGAAAGGCUAUGGCUCAACCAUAGUAAGCCUUGCGAACUGUGAGACUUGAGUGCAGGAGAGGAAAGUGGAAUUCCUAGUGUAGCGGUGAAAUGCGUAGAUAUUAGGAGGAAUACCAGUGGCGAAGGCGACUUUCUGGACUGUAACUGACACUGAGGCACGAAAGCGUGGGGAGCAAACAGG